UACGAAGGGUGCAAGCGUUGCUCGGAAUUAUUGGGCGUAAAGGGUAGGUAGGUGGUUACGUAUGUCUGGGGUGAAAUCCCUGAGCUGAACUCAGGAAGUGCCUUGGAAACGGCGUAACUAGAGUACUAGAGAGGUUCGUGGAAUUCCUGGUGUAGCGGUGAAAUGCGCAGACAUCAGGAGGAACACCAAUGGCGAAGGCAGCUCGCUGGGACGUGACUGACGCUGAGACGCGAAAGCGUGGGGAGCAAACAGG
rnacentral:rRNA from 1 species